CAAAUUUGAAAUCUGGCCCUUGGGUCCGAGUUGUAAUUUGCAGAGGAUGCUUUUGGUGCGGUGCCUUCCGAGUUCCCUGGAACGGGACGCCUUAGAGGGUGAGAGCCCCGUACGGUUGGCCACCAAGCCUGUGUAAAGCUCCUUCGACGAGUCGAGUAGUUUGGGAAUGCUGCUCAAAAUGGGAGGUAUAUUUCUUCUAAAGCUAAAUACUGGCCAGAGACCGAUAGCGCACAAGUAGAGUGAUCGAAAGAUGAAAAGCACUUUGAAAAGAGGGUUAAAUAGCACGUGAAAUUGUUGAAAGGGAAGGAUUUAUGACCAGACUUUUUCUGGGGGGAUCAUCCGGUGUUCUCACCGGUGCACUUCCCCCAGUGGAGGCCAGCAUCGGUUUCUGCCGGGGGAUAAAAGCUUCGGGAAUGUGGCUCCUUCGGGAGUGUUAUAGCCCGUUGCAUAAUACCCUGGCGGGGACCGAGGUUCGCGCAUUGCAAGGAUGCUGGCGUAAUGGUUAUUAAUCACCCGUCUUGAAACA
rnacentral:rRNA from 1 species